rnacentral:rRNA from 1 species
UACGUAGGGUGCAAGCGUUGUCCGGAAUUAUUGGGCGUAAAGGGCUCGUAGGCGGUCUGUCACGUCUGCCGUGAAAACCCGAGGCUUAACCUCGUGGCUUGCGGUGGAUACGGGCAGACUAGAGGUAGGUAGGGGAGAACGGAAUUCCCGGUGUAGCGGUGAAAUGCGCAGAUAUCGGGAGGAACACCGGUGGCGAAGGCGGUUCUCUGGGCCUUACCUGACGCUGAGGAGCGAAAGCAUGGGGAGCGAACAGG